rnacentral:lncRNA from 1 species
CGCACGACGAUUGGGCGCGGGCCGGUGCGGGGGCCCCCGUGCCCGGAACCCCCGCCCCCAGCCCCCAGAGGCUUCCCUUACUCCCGCCAGCAAACAGAGGGGAGAACUGAGGCUCAGAGCAGGUCAGUGUAUCAUGGCUGGUUUCCUGUGGACAGCCUCUUGAAUGGUGUACGGGUAUCUGCUAAUUUACAGUGCUGUGUGAGCAUUCUUUUUUUUUUUUCUAUUUUUAAUAUUUUUUUGGCUUUGUUGGGCUUAGUUGUAGCACAUGGGCUGUUUGUUACAGUGCACAAGCUUCUCUCUAAUUAUGGCCUGUGGGCUCCAGAGUGCACAGUCUCAGUAGUUGAGGUGCUUGAGCUUGGUUGCCCUGCAGCAUGUGGGAUCUUAGUUCCCUGAUCAAGGAUCGAACCUUCGUCUCCUGCAUUGGGAGGCAGAUUCUUAACCACCGGACCACCAGGGAAAUCCUUGGGCAUCCUUAUAAGUGGCUCUUGAUUGUGCAUGCAAGAGUUUCUCU